rnacentral:lncRNA from 1 species
GCCCAUGAGUUUUAAGAAUCAAACUCAGGGCCUUGAGGUCCUGGAGUUAGCGGUUACUCAAGAAGCUAUCUCUUCAGCCCAGAAUUCAGGCCUUUUUGGUGAAAAACUUCUACAUUUGGAAGCUCCUUCAAAAAAUUUACUUUCUGGGCUGAUGUGCAAUCUCUACCUUCCAUUUUGUGUGGAGGAGUGAAAGAAAAACCCAAGCAGCAAAGAAAGUCAACAGUGGAAAGUCCAUGCAAUCGAUCGUAAUUGAACCAAACAAGCCACAUUCCAGCUCCAGCAAGCAGCAGAUCGAGGCGGCUUUUGACAGGUAUGUGCCUGAGCGAGCAAGUGUCCUUGGAGGCCAGAGGCUUCGGAUCCCUGGAGUUGAAGUUAUACCUAAAUGUGAACACUUGGCACAGAUGCUGGGAGUCCAUCUCAGCUCCCUGCAGGAAGAGUGUGUGCUCUUGACAAGUGAGCCUCCCCAGCCUUUGUCUGGAUGUCUGAUAAAGCUGGAGUUAUGGAAUUUCUGAUAGUGAUCUUGUUCUUAUGUGACAUCACUGUGACUUAGUGCUGGUGGGCUGACGCUGACUAACUGUAAUCACUUGAUGAAGUGGUAUCUGCCAAGUUUUUCCACCACAGACUUAGUAUUUUCUGCUUUUCAUGUUCUAAACGUUAUCAUUAAACGCAGCCGGAGAGAAGGCUUCAGGGGAACUAUGGAAAUUUUGUGAACUUGUGUUGAAACCACCGCAAUAAUGAAGAAAUAUUUAGGGAAGAGCCUGUGUGAUUCUGUGACCUUGCUUUUUGGUGUCACUCACUUGUCUUAGCAUCCGUCAGAAGGCUUAGUGACAGCACUGUUCUGCAUGCUUAAUGGCAAUUUGUCUACUCUCGUCAUCCUUUCUGCACACAGUAUUUGGGAUUCACCUAUAGUUCAGCACAUCCUUUCUUCAUGGUGGAUUUACUUAUUCACCCUUGGAAUGAAUUUAUGGAAAUGUAUUUUGUGAACAAUUAUUCUGAGACUACUAAUCAAUAACUUUAUUUUUCAUUGCCCAUUGGCAUAAUGUUAUUGUGUACUAUAUAAAGUUUAUCCUUGUAUGACUCAAAUGAUAUCUAUGUCCCCAUAUCUGGUUGUGAUCAGAACGUGCAUUGUAAUGCUUAUUCUAAGAAUCUCCUAUCUCAAUGUUGUUUAAACAUUGCUCCCCAGUUAUCUCUGAUUGGUCAACAGAAAGCUGAUCAGCCAAUGAUGGGGCAGAGGAAAGGAUAGGGUUGGACUUCCAAUCCCAGUCUGUAGAGGAGAGGGAAGAAGAGAGGACCCUCCCUGGAAGAAGGACCCAGGAGUCACCAUGAGAACAUUCUGGAGAAUGUUCCAGAGAGAUCCAGAACAAUACUAAAAUGCAAAUAUCUCGGGGAUUUUGGCUGGGGCAAAGCCAGAUUAACUUAGAGGAUUGGAAUAGAUAAAUAUCUGCCCGGUUAUUCUGCCUUAAAGCUUGUUGAAAAAAAAUCUAAUAGUCUCUGUCUC